AGAGUUUGAUUAUGGCUCAGGAUGAACGCUAGCGAUAGGCCUAACACAUGCAAGUCGAGGGGCAGCACAUGAAGUAGCAAUACGGAUGGUGGCGACCGGCGCACGGGUGAGUAACGCGUAUGCAACCUGCCUACAACAGGGGAAUAACCCGUUGAAAGACGGACUAAUACCCCAUAACACAGGGAUCCCGCAUGGGAAUAUUUGUUAAAGAUUUAUCGGUUGUAGAUGGGCAUGCGUUCCAUUAGCUGGUUGGUGAGGUAACGGCUCACCAAGGCAACGAUGGAUAGGGGAACUGAGAGGUUUAUCCCCCACACUGGUACUGAGACACGGACCAGACUCCUACGGGAGGCAGCAGUGAGGAAUAUUGGUCAAUGGACGCAAGUCUGAACCAGCCACGUCGCGUGAAGGAAGACGGCCCUACGGGUUGUAAACUUCUUUUGUAAGGGAAUAAAGUGCAGUACGUGUACUGUUUUGCAUGUACCUUACGAAUAAGGAUCGGCUAACUCCGUGCCAGCAGCCGCGGUAAUACGGAGGAUCCGAGCGUUAUCCGGAUUUAUUGGGUUUGAAGGGUGCGCAGGCGGGAGAUUAAGUCGGCGGUGAAAUUUUGCAGCUCAACUGUAAAAGUGCCUUCGAAACUGGUUUUCUUGAGUGUGGAUGAAGUAGGCGGAAUUUGUGGUGUAGCGGUGAAAUGCAUAGAUAUCACGAGGAACUCCGAUUGCUCAGGCAGCUUACUAAACCAUAACUGACGCUCAGGCACGAAGGCGUGGGGAUCAAACAGGAUUAGAUACCCUGGUAGUC
rnacentral:rRNA from 1 species